AAAGACUAGCUUGCAUUCACAUAAUAACUUUCAGUAUUAGCCAUUUUCUAUGGCCUUAUACAAAAUGAAACAAAUAUUAGAUUAAGCCAAUAAAUUUGACCAAUUAACAAUGGCACAAAACUCAAAAGUCAAUGUCCUAUACAUACCAUAAUCAAAAUAAAAAAAUCUAACUAUACCAAGUGCUAUGGAUGAUAGUGUGAUCGAUGCUUCCGACUUCCGAUGAUCCUCGAGCUAAUUAGGCGGCACUAUAAGAAAAUGGAAAGGAGAGGGGGUAAGCAUAAAGCUUAGUAAGUUGGAUGCAAAUAAAUAUAACAACAAUUUUACCAUUCAUCAUCAUGCUCAAAUAUAGAAGUAGGCAUAAGCACAACUUACUCAUCACUAUCCAAUACAAUUCACAUAGUAUAUUUUGAGGCUCACAUCUCAUACAUUUCAAAUAGGUACUUGUACCACUCAGAACAUGGUUAUCCUUUUCUCGUUUAACUUAAAUUGCAACUCUCACCGUUGAACCAUUUGGAAUGUUAUCGAAUAUUCACUAAGCCUCAAACAUAGGGUAUAAUAUUGAUGCCAUGUCCCAGACAUGGUCUUACACUGACUCAUCCAUCAAAUCGAUGCUAUAUCCUAGACAUGGUCUUACACUAACUAUCGAAAUUAAGGCUGACGCCAUGUCCUAGACAUGGUCUUACACUAGCUCUAACAUAUUCAUGCUGAUGUCAUAUCCCAGACAUGGUCUUACACUGACACCUCUAUACGUGCCGAUGCCAUGUCUCAAAUAUGGUCUUACACUGACACAUCUCGUAGUCAAUGCAUAUCCCAGACAUGUCUUACACUGGCUUACAUCUCGAGGCCGAUGCAUGUCCCGGACAUGUCUUACACUAGCUCUCGUCUCAAUGCCAAUGCCAUAUCCCAGACAUGGUCUUACACUGGCUCUCAUAAUGCAGCCGAUGCAUGUCCCAGACAUGUCUUACACUAGUACACAAAUAACCCGAAUGUCAUGGCAUGAAUAUCCGAUUUAUUUCCUAAGGUUCAAACGGGAGUUCUACUAUCUCAAUAUUCAUCAUACAGAAUCGUUUUCACAAACAAGAAAUUUAUGCUAUAUCAAUUAAAACACAUAUAAUAAAAUGUAGUUGAAUUAUUUACAUACAGCUUACUUCGGAUUAUAAAAUGUAGAUGACUAGUUCGGCUUAGUCCACUUGUUUUGCUUUUCCCCAGCCUAGGCCUGGAUUUUAUAAUUCUUGAUCUAUACUGAUAAAAAUUCACAAAUUUAAUCAUUUUAUUAAUCUAGGUACUCAACAAUUUAAAAAUUGGGCAAAAUGACCAUUUUGCCCCUAGACUUUUACAAAAUGACCAUUUUACCAUUAGGUCUGAAAAUUAAUUUUUAUCGAAUCUCUUCAUAUCUUAAGCCUAGCCGACUCCUUUUUACUCUCAUAACAACCCAAAAUUUCCAUUAUUUCUAACAUUUAUCAUCAAAUUUUCAACUUAUGCAAAAUGGUCUCUAGUUAGGGUUUCCAUGAAAACUACUUCACAAAAGUUGUUUAUUAAACACCCAUAACUCAUAUUCUUCCAUAAAAUUUCAGAAAGCACCAUGAACACUCUCAUGGAAAAACCCUAUACUUUUAACCAUUUUACAAAAUAGUCCCCUUAUUAGAAAGCUCAUGUUACAAGGGGUCAAAAAUACAAAAAUCAUCAAGAAUAACCUUCUAAAUGACUUACUUGCAAGAGAUAUUAAUGGCUGAUAUUUUGAACUCUCUAAAAUCUCUUUUUAAUGCUGAAAAUUAGUGAAGAAGAAGAAAUAAAAAGAUGAAGCUUUUCUGUUUUUUUUUAAUAUUAUUACUAGUCAAAAUAGGUCACCAAAACCUUACCUAAUUUUGACUUUCUUGUCUCAUGGCCGGCCAAGCACUAUUCUAAGGUCUAUUUGCCCUUUAGAGAUCCCCAAUUUAUGAUGCAUGGCAAUUUAACACCCUUAGCUAUCAAAUUAAGACUUUUGCACUUUAUCUGAUUUAGUCCUUUUUUGCAAUUAAGCUCUCAAACUCUAAAAUUUCUUCACCAAAUUUUUCAUGCACUAAUAUUAACAUGCUAUAACUCCAAAAUAAUAAUAAAAUAAUUUCUCUAACUUCAGAUUGUUGGUCUUAAAACCACUAUUCUGUCUGGGCCCAAAAUCGGGUUGUUACAAUUCUCUCCCCUUAGGGAUAUUCGUCCCUAAAAAUCUUACCGGUGAAUAGAUUCGGAUAUUUGUCUCUAACGGUCCCCUCAGGUUCCCAUGUGGCUUCCUCGACUCUGUCUAUGCCACAAAAAUUUCACGAGUGCUAUACUUUUAUUCCUCAAUUAUUUGACCUCCCAAGCCAAAAUCUUAUCUGGCUCUUCGCCAUAAGUCAUGUCUAAACUAAUCUCAACCUCUAUUGAUGUGAUCACAUGCGAAAGAUCCGAUCUAUAUCGACGUAACAUGAACACAUGAAACACGUCGUGAAUCUUUUCCAAUUCUGAGGGUAAAGCCAAUCGGUAGGCAAUAGGCCCUACUCUCUCGGUAAUCUCAUAAGGUCCUAUGAAACGAGGACCCAGCUUGCCCUUUCUACUGAAUCUGAGGACUUUCCUCCACGGGGAUACCUUUAAAAACACCUUAUCCCCAACUUGAAACUUCAUCUCUUUCCGUUUCAAAUCCGCGUAAGAUUUCUGUCUAUCCAAAGCGGCCUUCAAAUAGUCGUGAAUCACCUUAACUUUCUAUUCAGUCUCUUUAACUAAAUCAACCCCAUGUAUCUGAUUUUCUCUCGGCCCAGUCCAAUACAAGGGUGUUCGACAAUUGCGUCCAUACAAAGCCUCAUAAGACACCAUUUUCAAACUUGACUGAUAACUAUUGUUGUAGGCGAAUUCGACCAGCGAUAAAUAUCUUUUCCAACUGCCUUGAAACUUGAGAACACAACACUAUAACAUGUCUUCUAAGGUCUGAAUCACCUUUUCUGACUGACCGUCGGUUUGAGGGUGAAAAUUUAUGCAAAAAUUUAGUUUCGUCCCCAAUGCCUCUUGCAACUUCCUCCAAAAUCGUGAGGUAAACCUCGGAUCUCUAUCCAAAAUAAUCGACAAGGGCACUCCAUUAAGUCUCACGAUCUGAGAAACAUAUAGAUCGACCAAUUUCUCAAUGGAAUAGUCAGUACGAACUGGUAUAAAAUGUGCUGACUUAAUAAGUCUAUCAAAAAUUACCCAAACUGAAUCCUUUUUUCCUUGGUGUCAAAGGCAACCCUGACACAAAAUCCAUUGUUACUUGGUCUGACUUCCACUCGGGAACCAUUACAGGUUGAAGCAAACCCGAAGGUACUUGGUGUUCGGAUUUCACUUGUUGACAAAUUAGACACUUAAAAAUGAACUCUAAAAUGUCUCUUUUCAUCUCCGACCACCAAUACAUUUUCUUCAAGUCAUUGUACAUUUUCACACUACCCGGGUGGAUAGACAAACAACCACUAUGUGCCUCUCGUAAAAUCUUCUGAAUGAGCUCAUUAUCCUUGGGUACACAAACUCUGUCUUGGUACAUCAUACAACCGUCGGUACCAAUACUAAACUCUAAUUCAUUUUUCGUCUCACACUGAGCCAUUUUAGCUUGCAAAUCCAUAUCGCCUUUCUAAGCUUCACAAAUCUCUUGAAUGAACAUAGGUCUAGCUCUCAUCUCGGCUAGAAUCGAGCCAUCAUCAAUCAUGGUCAACUAAGUAUUCAUAACCCUCAAUGCGAACAAUAAUUUCAUACUCAAUGCAUUGGCUACUAUAUUGCCUUUCCGGGGUGGUAGUCAAUCACCAACUCGUAAUCCUUUAUCAGCUCUAGCCACUUUCGUUGCCAUAGAUUCAACUCUUUCUUAGUCAGCAUCAAUAUUAGCCCGAAAUUCCUCAGCCCCUUGCUUUCGUAUUGGGGGUUUCUCCUUCCUAACCAUAUCCACUCCUUGCGGAGCUACUAGGGCAUACUAAGGAAUCGGAAGAGGUAGGGGAGGUGGAGUGUUCGGAUUCGUAUGAACAAACUCCGUAUACCAAGCGUCCAUCAUAUGGAGGUAAGCCUCUCUAGCCCCUCCAACCUAACUCAGUGUCACGGGCCCAUUAUCUACCGGUGUAGUUCCUUCAGCGGGAGGCGGCACAUUACUCUCCACAUCAUCCACUGUAGCUACGUCAGGAUCCAUUUACUAUAUAAAUAAAAACACAAUUUAUCUUGUUAGGAUCUUCACACUAUCAAUAUACAGUUAUGGAAUGUAUAGCUAAACUCAUACUCAUGCUAUGUUAGUACUAGAAUCGACUAAAUCAUAGCUCUGAUACUACUAAAUGUAACACCCCACAACCGUGCCCUAUGCCGAGACAGAAUAUGAGGUGUUACUACACUUAAACAUAUGCAUUCAAACGUUUUCGAGUCACUAAGACUUGAUCAAAUUUAAAACUUUUUUGAACUUUGUUUAAACUCAUUAAUAUGGGCCUACGAGGCCUCAAACAUUUAUUGGAAGCCAUUCGGAACCAACUCGGAUCCUUAAACUGACUUUAUAUAAAUGACCCUUGAAAUAGGGUACACACCCGUGUGGCUAUUAUGACAUGGCUGUGCUGAUGGCCCGUGUGGUUCAAACGACUUAAGCACAAGGGAACACGUCCGUGCCCCGAGCCUUUGUGAAUUAAAUUCUAAAUUCGAACCUACAGGGGUUUUCACACGGAUUGACACGCCCAUGUUUAUAGCGUGUGUCCCUUACACGACCAUGACACACCCGUGUCCUAGCCCGUUUUUAAAAACCUUUACAUUCUGUUUCUGACGUCAGCAUCCAAUAAGGGACACACAGCCAAGGCACACGCCCGUGGCCAAAGGCCGUGUCCUCCACAUGGCUGAAACACACGAUCGUGUCUCUUUCCGUGUGUUUACUACCGUGCAUACUGACUUGCAAAUUUUAUGUGCAGGGGGCACACGACCAAGCAACACGCCCAUGGGCUAAUCGCGUGUCACACACGGCCUAGACACACGCCUAUGUGUCUAUUUAUGUGGACAAAAUAAAGAUAUUUACCAAGCCUUUGCCACCCUGAAACACAAUCUAACAUCAACCAACAUAUCAAAGGUUAACUAAUAUGAUUUCUCAACCAAACAACCAUAGUUAAGACCUAUAAACAUUACAUAUAUUCAACCAUGACAACAAUUUCACAUUCAUGAAAGACUAGCUUGCAUUCACAUAAUAACUUUCAGUAUUAGCCAUUUUCCAUGGCCUUAUACAAAAUGAAACAAAUAUUAGAUUAAGCCAAUACAUUUGGCCAAUUAACAAGGGCAAAAAACUCAAAAGUCAAGGUCCUAUACAUGUCACAAUCAAAAUAAAAGAUCUAACUAUAUCAAGUGCUAUGGAUAAUAGUGUGAUCGAUGCCUCCGACAUUUGAUUAUCCUCGAGCUAAUUAGGCGGCAGUAUAAGAAAAUAGAAAAGAGAGGAGUAAGAAUAAAGCAUAGUAAGUUGCAUACAAAUAAAUAUAACAACUUUACCAUUCAUCAUCAUGCUCAUAAUACAAAAAUAGGCAUAAGCACCACUUAAUCAUCACUAUCCAAUACAAUUCACAUAGCAUAUUUAAGCUCACAUCUCAUACAUUUCAAAUAGGUAUCUGUACCAUUCAUAAUAUGGUUAUACUUUUCUCGUUUAACUUAAACUGUAACUCUCACCGUUGAACCAUUUGGAAUGCUAUCGAAUAUUCACUAAGCCUCAAACAUAGGGUAUAAUGCUGAUGCCUUGUCCCAGACAUGGUCUUACAUUGGCUCAUCUAUCAAGUCGAUGCCAUGUCCCAAACAUAGUCUUACACUGACUAUCGAAAUCGAGGCCGACACUCUGUCCUAAACAUGGCCUUAAACUAGCUUUCACAUAUCCUUGUCGAUGCCAUGUCCUAGACAUGGUCUUACACUAACGCAUCUCGUAGUCGAUGCAUGUCCCAGACAUGUCUUACACUGGCUUACAUCUCGAGGCCGAUGCAUGUCCCAGACAUGUCUUACACUAGCUCUCGUAUCAAUGUCGAUUCCAUGUCCCAGACAUAGUCUUACACUGGCUCUCAUAAUAUAGCCGAUGCAUGUCUCAGACAUGUCUUACACUAGCACACAAAUAGCCCAAAUCUCAUGGCAUGAAUAUUCGAUUUAUUUCCUAAAGUUCAAAUGGGAGUUCUACUAUCUCAAUAUUCAUCAUACAGAAUCAUUUCCACAAACAAGCAAUUUAUGCUAUAUCAAUUCAAACACAUAUAAUAACAGUGUAGUUCUAUUUUUUACAUACAACUUACCUCGGAUUACAAAAUGUAGACGACUAGUUUGGCUUAGUCUACUUGUUUUGCUUUUCCUUGAUCUAGGCCUGGAUUUUGUAAUUCUUGAUCUAUAAUGAUAAAAAUUUACAAAUUUAAUCAUUUUAUUAAUCUAAUUACUCAACAAUUUAAAAAUUGGGUAAAAUGACCAUUUUGCCUCUAAAUUUUUGCAAAAUGACCAUUUUACCAUUAAGUCUAAAAAUCGAUUUUUAUCUAAUCUCUUCAUAUCUUAAGCCUAGCCGACCCCUUUUUACUCUUAUAAAAACCCAAAAUUUCCAUUAUUUCUCACAUUUAUCAUCAAAUUUUCAACUUAUGCAAAAUGGUCCCUAGUUAAGGUUUCCAUGAAAACUACUUCACAAAAGUUGUUUAUUACACACCCAUAACUCAUAUUAUUAUAUAAAAUUUCAGAAAACACCAUGAAAACUCUCAUGGUAAAACCCUAUACUUUCAACCAUUUUGCAAAAUAGUCUCAUUAUUAGAAAGCUCAUGUUACAAAAGGUCCAAAAAUACAAAAAUCAUCAAGAAUAACCUUCUAAAUGACUUACUUUCAAGAGAUAUUAAUGGAUGAUAUUUUUAACUCUCUAAACCCUUUUUUUUAUUCUAAAAAUCGAUGAAGAUGAAGAAAUAAAAAAAUGAAGCCUUUUUGUUUUAUUUUAAUAUUGUUACUAGUCAAAAUAGAUCACCAAAACCUCACCUAAUUUUGACUUUCUUGUCUCAUGGCCGGCCAAGCACUAUUUUAGGGUGUAUUUACCCUUUAAAGACCCUCAAUUUAUGAUGCAUGGCAAUUUAACACCCUUAACUAUCAAGUUAAGACUUUUACACUUUAUGCAAUUUAGUCCUUUUUUGCAAUUAGGCUCCCAAACGCUAAAAUUUCUUCACCAAAAUUUUUAUGCACUAAUAUAAACAUUCUAUAACUCCAAAAUAAUAAUAAAAUAUUUUCUAUGACUUCAGAUUGGUGUUCUCAAAACUACUGUUCUGAUUGGGCCUAAAAUAAGUUGUUACAAAGACCUAUUUAGUCCUUAUCUCUUUCUGAUUUGUAGUGAAGGGCUUUCAUUUUUUAUGAGGUUGGCGAAGGAGGAAGGUUUGGUUAGGGGUGCAAAAGUAUGCCGGAGGGGACCUGAAGUUACUCAUUUACUCUUUGUAGAUGACUGCAUCUUUUUUGGUGAAACAAUUGAAAUAAGUGUUAAUGUUUUGCAAGAGAUUCUAAAAGAAUAUGAGGUACGCUAUGGACAAUGUGUUAAUUUUGAUAAGUCUCUUUUAUUUUUCAGUUCAAAUGGUACUUAAAAUUCAAGUUAAGAGUGUCACAAAGGUUGAUGGUUCGAUUUUCAUCUAACCCAGAAAAAUACAUUGGGCUUCCAUAUAUAGUGGGCAGGAAUAAGAAAAUGGCAUUUCAAGUGUUGAAAGAUAGAAUGGUUAAGAGAAUUAACAGUUGGUGUGUUAAAUCCCUUUCACAAGGUGAAAAAGAGGUGUUUAUUAAAAGUGUGCUUUAGGCCAUACCAACAUAUUCAACGUCAUGUUUCUUAAUGCUUGUUUCUUUAUGUACGGAUCUGGAGCAUAUUAUCAGUAGAUAUUGGUGGAAAAAUUUUAAGGGGAAAAAGGGUAUACAUUGCUGUGAAUGGAAGAAUCUAUGUGACUUAAAGGAGGAUGGGGGAUUGGGAUUCAAAAAUCUAACAAAGCUGUUUCUUUGCUUGCGAAGUAAGAAUGGCGUUUGGCAAAAAAUCCAAAUUCUCUACUAGAUAAAUAAUAAAGGCCAAAUAAUAUCCAAAAACUACCUUUAUAAGAUCAAAUCUAGGAAAUAAUUCAUCAUAUACCUAGAAGAGUAUAUGGACAACUAAGCGAGUGUUGCAGGAGGGAAUAUGCUGGCAAGCGGGGUAUGGACUAAUAUUUCAAUUUAGGAGGAUGCAUGGUUACCGAGAUUUUUUGUGGAUUUCAAAGUUCAUAAUAAUGACAGGAGUAGUGAUCUUAAUACAAUCUCGAAUUUAAUUGAUCAAGAAAAUAGAUGUUGGAAGAGAGAUUUUAUUACCAGACAUUUCUCCCCAGAUGAAGUAGAGCAUAUCCUUUGCAUUCUACUAUCCCAACACAUAUAGGAAGACAGGUUGAUCUGAAGAGGAGGAGGCAAUUGAAGAAUGCACUGAGUGGUUACAAAAGACUAUUAUAAGGAGAUGAUACAAUUGAGCCUAGGAACUGCAAUAAUAAUCACACCACAUUCAACAAGAAGCUGUGGCAGACAAAUUUGCCAUAAAAAAUUAAGAUUACAAUUUGGAGGUUAUUUAACAAUUACAUUCCUACGUAUGGUAAUCUUCACUAUAGAAUGCUUCGGAGCUCAUCAUUCUGUCCUCAAUGCUCAGAUAUAAAUGAAACAAUAGAACAUACUUUUCGUGAUUGCCUAACUGCAAAAAAAUUAUAGUCGUAGUUACAAGUAACAUGGAAUCCGAAUAUCCUUCAUAUUGGAUUUAAAGACUAGCUUAUGGACGUUGUGUCUACCUGUUCAGCAUGCAAAUGUAGAAUGGUUUUCUGUGUUCUUUGGGCCAUUUGGAUAGUAAGAAAUAAAGAGGUACAUGAAGGGGCUAAAAAAUCUUCACAUGAAUCAGUUGUUUCUAUAAAAACAUACCUUAAGAAAAUUGAUGAUCUAGCAAAAAAUCUACCUACUUAAAAGAUGAUGAAGGAAAGAUGGUGCCCACCAGAUCCAGUGUUUAUUAAAAUAAACUUUGAUGUAGCCUUCAAAACUCAAACAAAAGAAUCAUGUUCGGGUUUGGUAUGCACAAAUAUCGAUGGGCAGAUGAUGAGCUCAAAAAUCAUUCUGAAUAGACACAUUCCUUCUCCCUUUGCGACAGAAGAUUUGGCAUGUUUACAUGCAACACAAAUGAGAAGCGAUCUGGGUUUUCGAAACGUGAUAAUCGAAGGGGAUGUCCGAUUUAUUAUCAGGAAACUGUAAAUAGACCAAGAUGAUAGAUCUGUUAUAAGUGCCUACAUUAAGUAUUCGAAGGAGAUAAGUAAUAAGUUUUAUAUAGGUUAUUUUGAACAUGCAUGGAGGAAAACAAAUAGAUUAGCACAUAUCAUUGCUACAGAAGGAGUGAAAAAAGGGAAAGACACUUAUCUGGAAGGAGAGGUCCAUGAUUUUGCAAAUACAGAAAUGAAGCAAGAGAGAAGACAGUAACGAGCUGCAGCAUCGAGAAACCGAGAUGUUGAAAGAGUUGCAAUGGAAACUGUGGAACUUGUUUUGAUCGUCUCGAAUUUCAUUUUUCUUAUUAGAAGAGAUGAUAGGUUUUCUGAAUGGUUUUUUUUUUUUUUGUUCUGUAUUGUAUUUGUAAAAUGGGGAAGAAAACCCAUCUUUAGGCUUGGCUAUUUGGCUUCUCUAAGAGUCACUUAUUGUGUUA
rnacentral:lncRNA from 1 species